AUAGAUGUAUAUGUAAAACUAGGAUAUCAGUGUACAGAUAUUAAACUCUUCUUGAUUUUGAUGCAGGACUCUUAGUUUAAACUGUUGCUUCUGAUGUAAUAGUGAAUAGAAAAUUGAGUUUAUGAUGAUUGUUUAUUUGAGUUAACUAUUUAAGUUUCUCAUGUAACCCAACAAGCAACAUCUCCUUUUACUUUGGUUGCAGGUGGCAAUGGCAACAGCUGCAAAAGCAAAAUUACUUCUUCGUGGGUCUUUUAAAGCAGAUUUGGCAUUUGCUAAAGGAUGUAUCUGCACUUGUUUCUUCAAGAACUUCACAUAAUCUACACUAUGUGGAUCUUUUGAAAUCUUCACGUUUUUUCUCUUUGGUGGUUUAAUGGUUUCUGGGUCUAUGUGAAUAGGUUGCAUAACCGCCAUUCGGAAUAUCAUUUCUCUCAUUGCUGUCAUUGAUGAACUCUUUUUCUCUAAUGAAGUGUAUGAAAAUGAUGAAGCAUUAUUUGGUUGAAGAGGAUAAGAAGAGAGUGGUGGAUUCAUCAAACAUAAUUCAUUUUAUGUGUUGGUGAGAUUGAGAUUGAGAUUGUUGCUGUUGGAGUUGGUGUUAUAAAAUGGUUGAUAUGUUGAUUCAGGAAACUUUUCCAUUUGCAUCAUCAUUGUCAUCAUGUGAUUCAUGGUACUUUCAUCAGUAGUUUCUAAGGUUUUCAAUAUGUCCUCAUUAUUAUCCAUGAAUAGAAUUUUCACACUGUCCUAGGAUAAAAGGAGGAAUUGAGGGAAUGAAAGUACAAAGAAAAUAGAAGGCGGAGAAAUGGAGAAGAUGAGAAAAGUGAAAGUAGGUGCAAACGUGAGAGUAUGAAGUAAUAAAAUAGUGUUGAAGAGAGUACAGAAAGAAAGUGCAGGUUGAUAUGAUCUAUGUAACUUACUAACAACAAAAGCAAAAGCAAACAAUAUAUAUUCAUUCAUCUUUAUUAAAUAUAAUUUUAGUUCUUGUUUGAGUGGCUAUGGA